UACAGAGGGUGCAAGCGUUAAUCGGAUUUACUGGGCGUAAAGCGUGUGUAGGUGGUCGUGCAAGACAGAUGUGAAAUCCCCGGGCUCAACCUGGGAACUGCAUUUGUGACUGCAUGGCUGGAGUGCGGCAGAGGGGGAUGGAAUUCCGCGUGUAGCAGUGAAAUGCGUAGAUAUGCGGAGGAACACCGAUGGCGAAGGCAAUCCCCUGGGCCUGCACUGACGCUCAUGCACGAAAGCGUGGGGAGCAAACAGG
rnacentral:rRNA from 1 species